rnacentral:rRNA from 1 species
CAGUAGCCGCGGUAAUACGAAGGGGGCUAGCGUUGCUCGGAAUGACUGGGCGUAAAGGGCGCGUAGGCGGAUGGCACAGUCAGAUGUGAAAUUCCCGGGCUUAACCUGGGGGCUGCAUUUGAUACGUGUUGUCUAGAGUGAGGAAGAGGGUCGUGGAAUUCCCAGUGUAGAGGUGAAAUUCGUAGAUAUUGGGAAGAACACCGGUGGCGAAGGCGGCGACCUGGUCCUUGACUGACGCUGAGGCGCGAAAGCGCGGGGAGCAAACAGGAUUAGAUACCCCUGUAGUCCCUGUCUCUUAUAC